AUUGAACGCUGGCGGCAUGCCUUACACAUGCAAGUCGAACGGUAACGGGCCUUCGGGUGCCGACGAGUGGCGAACGGGUGAGUAAUGCAUCGGAACGUACCUUUCAGUGGGGGAUAACGUAGCGAAAGUUACGCUAAUACCGCAUAUUCUGUGAGCAGGAAAGCAGGGGGAUCGCAAGACCUUGCGCUGAUUGAGCGGCCGAUGUCAGAUUAGCUAGUUGGUGAGGUAAAGGCUCACCAGGGCGACGAUCUGUAGCGGGUCUGAGAGGAUGAUCCGCCACACUGGAACUGAGACACGGUCCAGACUCCUACGGGAGGCAGCAGUGGGGAAUUUUGGACAAUGGGGGCAACCCUGAUCCAGCCAUGCCGCGUGAGUGAAGAAGGCCUUCGGGUUGUAAAGCUCUUUCGGCCGGGAAGAAAUCGCAUGGGUUAAUACCCUGUGCGGAUGACGGUACCGGCAUAAGAAGCACCGGCUAACUACGUG
rnacentral:rRNA from 1 species